AUUAAACAAUAUGUUGAUGAAACCAUCGUGUAAUAAUAUAACAACAAAAAAAAAUAUUCUCUCAUUUUUUUCUUUUGAUUUAACAAUGGGUGUUCUUACUAUAGAGCCACAUUUUGUGUUGUUUCCUUUCAUGGCACAAGGCCAUACAAUCCCUAUGAUUGAUAUUGCGCGAUUACUAGCACAACGCGGAGUUAUUAUCACAAUCGUUACAACACAUUUGAACGCGAAUAGAUUCAAGAAAGUCAUUGAUCGCGCUAUAGAAUCAGGACUGAAAAUUCAGGUGGUUCAUCUCUACUUUCCAAGCUUAGAGGCUGGACUGCCUGAAGGAUGUGAAAAUUUCGACAUGCUUCCAUCGAUGGAUUUGGGGCUGAAAUUCUUCGAUGCUACGGAAAGACUUCAGCCCCAAGUGGAAGAAAUGUUGCGAGAAAUGAAACCUUCACCAAGUUGUAUAAUAUCUGAUAUGUGUUUCCCAUGGACAACUAAUGUUGCACAAAAGUUCAACAUUCCUAGAAUUGUUUUCCAUGGAAUGGGUUGCUUUUCUUUGUUAUGUUUACAUAAUUUGAAAGAUUGGGAAGGGUUAGAAAAGAUCGAGUCUGAUACAGAGUAUUUUCGAGUGCCUGGAUUGUUCGACAAGAUUGAACUAACCAAAAAUCAGCUUGGAAAUGCUGCCAGGCCGAGAAAUGAAGAGUGGCGAGUAAUGAGUGAAAAAAUGAAGAAAGCGGAGGAGGAAGCUUAUGGAAUGGUGGUGAAUACCUUUGAGGAUUUGGAAAAAGAAUACAUCGAGGGUUUAAUGAAUGCGAAAAACAAGAAAAUUUGGACCAUUGGCCCUGUUUCACUCUGUAACAAAGAAAAACAGGACAAAGCUGAAAGAGGGAACGAGGCUGCAAUUGAUGAACACAAGUGUCUAAACUGGCUUGAUUCGUGGGAACAAAACUCUGUACUCUUUGUAUGUCUCGGGAGCCUAUCGCGCCUUUCCACGUCUCAGAUGGUUGAGCUAGGGCUUGGGUUAGAAUCAUCGAGACGACCCUUUAUUUGGGUUGUUAGACACAUGUCAGAUGAGUUCAAGAAUUGGCUAGUUGAAGAAGAUUUUGAGGAAAGAGUUAAAGGGCAAGGACUAUUAAUCCGCGGUUGGGCGCCACAAGUACUACUCUUGUCACAUCCUUCAAUAGGUGCGUUCUUGACUCACUGUGGAUGGAAUUCGAGCCUGGAAGGUAUAACCGCUGGCGUGGCCAUGAUCACUUGGCCAAUGUUUGCUGAGCAGUUUUGUAAUGAGAGGUUAAUAGUGGAUGUACUCAAGACAGGAGUGAGGUCAGGCAUAGAGAGGCAAGUGAUGUUUGGAGAAGAAGAAAAAUUGGGAACACAAGUAAGCAAAGAUGACAUUAAGAAGGUGAUUGAACAAGUGAUGGAUGAAGAAAUGGAAGGUGAAAUGAGAAGAAAAAGAGCAAAAGAAUUAGGAGAAAAGGCAAAGAGGGCUAUGGAGGAAGAGGGUUCAUCUCAUUUCAACUUGACACAAUUGAUUCAAGAUGUGACAGAGCAAGCAAAAAUUUUAAAACCUAUGUAGAGGUUGGUUUAGGAUAUGGUGAAAUUAAUGAAUUAUGCCAUUUAGUAAAGUUCAGUUACUUCAAUAUAGGAGUAAUAUUUAAUUUUAUGGUCUUAUAAUUGUAUUGUACACGGAAAGAGUUAAAAAAGUAUCUUUAAAUUACGUGAAAUUGAAUAAAAAUGGUGUUAGGUAAUCGUUUGGUUCAACAAUCCUCUUGUUAUUAAUUGUUUGGU
rnacentral:misc_RNA from 1 species